UACGGAAGGCAGCAGUGGGGAAUAUUGCACAAUGGGCGCAAGCCUGAUGCAGCCAUGCCGCGUGUAUGAAGAAGGCCUUCGGGUUGUAAAGUACUUUCAGUCGUGAAGGAAGGUGUUAAGGUUAAUAACCUUAGCAAUUAGACGUUAGCGACAGAAGAAGCACCGGCUAACUCCGUGCCAGCAGCCGCGGUAAUACGGAGGGUGCGAGCGUUAAUCGGAAUUACUGGGCGUAAAGGGCACGCAGGCGGUUAAUUAAGUUGGAUGUGAAAUCCCCGGGCUUAACCUGGGAAUGGCAUUCAAGACUGGUUAGCUAGAGUCUUGUAGAGGGGGUAGAAUUCCAUGUGUAGCGGUGAAAUGCGUAGAGAUGUGGAGGAAUACCGGUGGCGAAGGCGGCCCCCUGGACAAAGACUGACGCUCAUGUACGAAAGACGUGGGGAGGCAAACCAGGGAUUAGAUACC
rnacentral:rRNA from 1 species